CUGCAAAUUGAAGUUCGAUUCUGUUUGAAGUAAGAAGAGAAGUAAGACGCCACCAUCCGCUGGAUGCUUCAUGGAGUUACCAAUAUCCCCAUAUCCAUGAGCUCUGCUGAAUGCUUAAAGAAACUUUGGCCUUUUACCCCUGCAGACCUCAAACAUGUUUUAUCUGGGAGUCUUCCUCUUUCAUGACAUUCACAGAAGGCCUAUGGUGUGCCAGGCCCCGUGGACAGCACUGUGGACACAGAUGCAUAAUAACAGUUCCUACCCUCCAGAUAGAGAGGCAAGAAAGGGCUGUGGAAGCAAACCCAAGGUACUAAGGAAGCCGGGAAGAGAACCUACUCUAGACUUGGAAGUUGAAGGGGUCAAGAAACAUUCCUAGAGAAGAUACCUGAGUCUUGAAAACUGAGAAGGAAUUAGUAACCCAACAGAGGUGGGAACUUUCUGAGGACGGAGAUGGAGAGGAAGAUGCUGCCAGCUGAGGGACCACCAUUCUGAAAGCUAGGAGAAAGUGCGCGAUGGAAAGUGGGCCUGAGGGAAAGGCUGUAAGCACCUCACUAUUAAUCACAAUUCUCCCUAUAGGAAAAUAAAUGCUGUUUCUACUUCAGCAAGUUUUUUUCCUUUUGUUUACAUUUUUUCUCAUUAUGAAGUGAUCAUCCUUUAAUUUGGAUGUGAACACUACGUCUAUUUGCAGGACAGACUCACUGUUCUAUAGAGCUCAAGAUUAUUACCAG
rnacentral:lncRNA from 1 species